AGGGGAAUCACCAGAACAGGACACACAUCAUACUUAAAGGAGGCAUCUCGGAUCCUGCAGUCAGUGCGUCUCACUUCCUCCUUCCUUCCCUCUCUCCUCGAUACCAUGAAUCGUGGCGUGUGUCUGGUGAUGAUGGUGGUGGUGGUGGUGGCUGUUGUGUGUGGCGACAUCUUCGACUGUACGAACAUCGUCUCGAACCAGGACCGAAGAUUCCCGCCUGGCCCGGUGUGCUGUGACCCACGCAUAGGAAGAUGCCCUGCAAACAAAUGUAUUCCUCAAAGGCUGAGCGGGCUGCCACCGGGUGUCCAAAAGUGUUUCUGUGACGGCCACUGUCCUGGCCAGCAGAAAUGCUGCUUUGAUAUCUGCGGCGAGAAUAAAGUCUGCAUGAGACCGGAACUCUAGUAAUUUUAACAUCACCAUCUCUGCCGCCACAGUCCAGACGGGAGAAUGCAUCGUUUGAAAAUGCUGCCUGAAGUUUUAGAUGGUGUCUCUGUGGUUGCAGCGGCAGUUUAGCAAGAAUCCACCAUGACCAACCAUCUCAAUGGCCCUUGAAAACAAUACAAGAAAACAACGUCUUUCAAAACGCCUCUUUCAAGACCUCUGAAUCUUUGGAUGUCUGGCUGAAAUGUCGACUUGGAGCCUUUCCUUUGUUGUUGGCUGUUAUUGCUUCACUGUGCGCGGGAGUGUCAGCUGAAUAAAUGUCUUGAAAAUUAAUAGCUGUCCGUUUCUUUAACCUCUUCCCAUUACACCAUUUUUGCCUCCGAACACACGAAGGAAAGGGACGAAAGGUCACGCAAAGAAGAAAAGCACAUAGCAAUGUAACAAAUACGUAGAAAGCACCACCACCACCACCACCACUACAGGAGCCCCAUCUCAAACGUUCUGGCGUCCAACCAUCACUCUCAGCAAGAUUUAAAGGAUGUGAGUGGAAUUUUCAGGUGUUUUAAUGAUUCUAGCGAUGGUUUAAUAAAGAUGCUACAUCAUUAAUAGGGAGAGUGUCCAUGGGAGCUCCGUUAUUCACCUCCGUGGCCUUUGGAAAUAUAUUAAGCAUAACAUGUUACA